rnacentral:pre_miRNA from 1 species
UUAACCCAUUUAACAACUCAACCCAUCAAAUUAAAUGAGUUAUGGGUUGACCCAACCCAUUUAACAAAAUGGGUUGGGUCAACCCAUAACUCAUUUAACUCUAAACUCAUUUGAUUAUGAGU